UCAGAAGCUAUGCAUCUUUCAGGAGCAGGGAGGUGGAGAGUCAGUGUGGAGAUGCUAAUGGAAGACAGAAGGUGGGAAAUUAAGGGGCCUGAGGAAUGGAAGAAGUCCCUCAUCCUGGGGCCCAGGUUGCCUUCCUGCUGACUGAGCACUCGGAAGCUUCAACAGAACCGAUAAAAUCAAAUUGCCCACAGAGAUAAUGCCUGCUUUCCUCAGAGACAACUCUCACAAGGCUGUGGAAAACAGUACGUUCUGCUUGUAUGGGGACAGAAAGUCUGUCACCUGGAGUUUGACGCUGAGUGUUUCUCUCAUCUAAAGCAAAACGGGGCUCUCUGGUAAUUUUACUCCUUCAGGAAAGAGAAAAGUGAGCCAGUGCCUAUCUCUAUGCUUAGAUUUAAACACUGUUAAUCUUUAAGCCUUACUGUAAAGCACACCCUUUGGGUGAGUGACUUGGUAAACCCCAGGAUCAAAUGAAACCAUUCUAAAUUCUCCUAAGAGUGCCUUACAGCCUUGCUUGGGUGUAGCCUGUCUUUUUCCCAUGUGUCCCUCCAAACACUGCUCUGCUGCCUGAAGUGUGUCCUCUUGUCAUCUUCUUUUCUGCUUAGAAACUCAC
rnacentral:lncRNA from 1 species